CGCGUAGGUAACCUGCCCGGUAGCGGGGGAUAACUAUUGGAAACGAUAGCUAAUACCGCAUAAGAGUAGAUGUUGCAUGACAUUUGCUUAAAAGGUGCAAUUGCAUCACUACCAGAUGGACCUGCGUUGUAUUAGCUAGUUGGUGGGGUAACGGCUCACCAAGGCGACGAUACAUAGCCGACCUGAGAGGGUGAUCGGCCACACUGGGACUGAGACACGGCCCAG
rnacentral:rRNA from 1 species